CUUCUACUUCAGUUCCAAAAGACCUGACGAAUAUGACUUCCUCUGGGAGGGAUAUGACUUUCUGUCGAUGAAAGGACGACCCUUUGUGAAAUAUGUAUUUUCAUAAAUAAAAAACAUAUUUUUUUUAUUAACACAGUGUAAAAAGCUUCUACUUCAGUUCCAAAAGACGUGAUGAAUAUGACUUCCUCUAGGAGGGAUAUGACUUUCCGUGGCAAGUAAACAAAUACUGACUUCAGGAGAUUGUAUUAACUAUACGGGAAAACUAAUGUGCCAAAAUCAGUUUCUUUAUGCACUUAAAUAACAUUCGAACUGUGCAACUCUAUGCUUUAAAAAAUACAAAAUUUGUACACAAAUUAUUUAAAAUAAACUUAAUGAGGAGAUGUAAUAGUAUACACUGGUUCUUAAACAAACAUGCUACUCAACACACGAAGCAGGUGGAAAACAUCGAACGGCCUCGUGCUUCUACCCUCUCCCUCUCCCUUUCCAGGAUCACCUGAAGAGCGCCAGUGCGGCGGCCUUGGCACAGCAGGCGCCGGCGGACGAAACGGCUUUCGCGACNNNNN
rnacentral:lncRNA from 1 species